CAAAGAAUACAUCAUAGACAAAAAGAACGAGGAGGAGCAAGGUACAACCCUUAAAUGUAGGCAGGCGAAUUGUUUUCAGCAUGUAAAGACAGAAAGCAAUUCCUAAAGCAUCUUGCAGAACCCAGGCCCAUUGAUCUUCAUUUCUGAAGACUCCCCAGACUACACUGACAGAGAUACAGAACACCGCUAACAACAACAUCCGGACCUGCGGACGCUUGUGGAAAUAAGGCAAGUUGUUGUCUGGGAUUCUACAUUUUCCCAAUGGGAAUCUUCUUACGAAGGGAGACAGACAACUGUAAAGGCCAAUUGAAGCAGCCAGGCAGAAUAUUCCUAUGAUAACAUAGACUAGGUGGUCAUAGAAGAAAUACAGGAGGACCAGCAUUGAGCAGCACAUCACUACAAAUACACAGAUCAUUAUUGGAGUCACAUCAACCGUCUCAUCUUCAUGUUUCUCCGCCCCAUCAUCACGUUUGUGCUUCAUGUAUCGCUUUUUCACAUCUCUGCUUCCUGCCCAGUAGCCUCCAAUUGCCACAGUCCCCACAGCCAUGACGAAUAUAAUGACCAUGUUGUAAUCAAGCACAGGCUCAUUUGGUGCAUACAUUGCUCCCUUCACUGAUCUGCCAAAACUCUUGACAAUAUCUAAC
rnacentral:lncRNA from 1 species